GCCUGGGAGCCAGCCCGCAGUAGAAAAACCAGCAAAUCGAGUUGCAGAAAGAAGAAUUGGUCUUUCGACAAGUGCUUGCCUUCCUAUCUAUAUAUGUAGUUCUUAUAUAGAUCAGCCCCAAGGUUUCUUAACUCUAAUGCGUAACAAGUGGUGUUAGGGCAUUCGUAGUCUUUGUUACUUGCACCAGUCGUUACACCGACGCCAACCAAAUUAAGGCCGACAUGGAGCCAUGCGCAUGAUUCCAAGAGUCACUAGAGGCGAAACUUAGUAAGAAUAACCAGUAAUGUCACGAAUGGAUGAAGCAAGCACUUUUAGAUGGUAUCGAUCAGAGCCAAUCAACCCUUUUCCCUGAUUAUCGUCACUUAAAUCCCACUAGCCGAAAUAUAAUCCGUCAAGUAAGAGAUAAGCCAGAGAUCCAGAUCAUUAGAAUACGUCACCGGCCACUAGAUCCAGGGAUGGGCCUUCUCUAGGUACAAAAAGAGUAGGUUAUUCCUAUCACUAGGAGUAGUCGCGCUAGCGGCGCAGAAGGAGAAAGUAACUAAGCGCUAAGAAGCUAUCUAGAUAGUUUCCAGCUGAGGGAAAUUGGCUUCGAUUGGUCUUAGCUUCGACUCGUAGUCUUCGACCACUCUUCUUCUUAUCCCCUAAGGUAGCUUGCUUCCAUUCAGGUAGCUAUUGCCGAGAAAUGGCCGAAAAAAGUCAAGUCUUAUUCCACUUGCUUUCUCGCUUUACUUGAAAACUGGAAAAACUAACUAGGCAGCUAUCGGAAAGAAAAUAAACAAGUAGUUUACUACGCAGGCUUUUUUUUUAUAGAGAGAGAGUAAGGGGGGUUUGCUUGCUGGCUCUCAGGGCUUAUAGUCGGUUUUUUUCUAAGGUAUUCCCUUUCAUUAGCUACGCUCAGGUUUCACCAACUUCGCGUCGGGUUCACUGAAGUGAAAUCUUGUUAAAGCAAACCAACGGUUGGUUGAACCUUAGGACGGUAGCGAAAGGAACCUUCUAGCUAACCGGGUCAAUUCAAACUCACUACAUACUAAAUUCCAUUGAGAACCCGGCGUAAUUGGUUUUCUCCAGCGGCUCUUUUUCCUAUAUUCUUUCAGAUGGCCCUGCUACGUCUGCCCACUACAGAACAGGCCUGACUCCCGUGAGCAGGUCCGCUGGCUCUUAGUAUGGCUUUUUACUUUUCUGAUCCGGCAUGAUAACAACUCGAACUCAACUUCUAUUCUUUCAAGAGCAAGAGAAAGGCACCGAGAUCCCGCGUAAGCGUCGUUUGCCCGUUGCCAAUAGGAUCGAC